rnacentral:lncRNA from 8 species
CAGGCUCAUCGACUGUAGUCAGUGCAAGAGGGCCAACUGACAAAUACGGCUGUGUAAGAUGGCAGCCUGACUUUCCCACAGAAGAAACUUUGGAGGCAAACCGUAAGGAAAUGGAGCAGCUUUAUUCCAGAGAUGGGCCAGCAGAAGGUAACAGAGGACAAUUCUAGCAGCUCAUGCAAGCAAUAUUUUACUUACAGCGCUGUGCCAUCAACGCUAGCCCAGCACCUAAGAUAGCCGAGCUGAGGAGUAAGUGGCCGUACCUUUUCACACACAAGGUUUGAAAAGGAUGGAGCGAAUGCAGUUGGCCUUGUGUUGUCCUCCUGCUGAUGGUCCAUUUCAAAGGAAGGGCGGAUGCACUCCUACAGGCCAAGGUGUCAGCCACAGCCACAGAUGUGGAGGGAUUAAUUCCCCUGCCGGACUCACCAAGACUGAUUGUUCAAGGUGACACAAUGGCUGCUGCCAAAUGGAUGAUAAGCAUGGAGAAGAGGGUCAUGAUGUCGGCCCAUUCCAACUUUGUGGCAGCGCUGGCAGCUUUUUCUUUGCCUCAUUCUACACCUUCAAUCUGCAGUACCGAGGAGGAGGCUUCACGCAACUUAGAGUUCAUCCAAAGAUGUUUUGCUGGAAUCAAUCCAUCCACAGGCUCGAUGACCGCCACAGCAGAGGUCGUCAGCAAGAAAACACAAAGUAGUGGAGAAGAAGAGACACAAUUAAUGAAGUAG